rnacentral:rRNA from 1 species
UACAGAGGUCUCAAGCGUUGUUCGGAUUCAUUGGGCGUAAAGGGUGCGUAGGCGGCGCGGUAAGUCGGGUGUGAAAUCUCGGGCUUAACUCCGAAACUGCAUUCGAUACUGCCGUGCUUGAGGACUGGGAGAGGAGACUGGAAAUUUACGGUGUAGCGGUGAAAUGCGUAGAUAUCGUAAGGAAGACCAGUGGCGAAGGCGGGUCUC